CUUAGAAUGCAUGGGCAUCUGAACAGUAUUUGCAAAAUUUAGCCCACUGUGUGAACAUUUUAAAGGAACCUUAUCAUUUCAAAAUGGCACGAGGGAGUCUGGAGUUGUUCUAUUCCAUCACCAGAAGACUCAAAACAUUCAUGCAACAUUUAUUACUAUUCAGGAAUCCGUGAACUGAAUCCUCUAAUUUCAAUGCUGCCUUGACCACCAUAUUUAGAAGAAAGAUGGAUUGUGAGCUGCCUUUUGUGUCCCAAGAAUGAUGAUGAUGACCUCCCUUUG